GGCCUAACACAUGCAAGUCGAACGGUAACAGGAAGAAGCUUGCUUCUUUGCUGACGAGUGGCGGACGGGUGAGUAAUGUCUGGGAAACUGCCUGAUGGAGGGGGAUAACUACUGGGAACGGUAGCUAAUACCGCAUAACGUCGCAAGACCAAAGAGGGGGACCUUCGGGCCUCUUGCCAUCGGAUGUGCCCAGAUGGGAUUAGCUAGUAGGUGGGGUAACGGCUCACCUAGGCGACGAUCCCUAGCUGGUCUGAGAGGAUGACCAGCCACACUGGAACUGAGACACGGUCCAGACUCCUACGGGAGGCAGCAGUGGGGAAUAUUGCACAAUGGGCGCAAGCCUGAUGCAGCCAUGCCGCGUGUAUGAAGAAGGCCUUCGGGUUGUAAAGUACUUUCAGCGGGGAGGAAGGGAGUAAAGUUAAUACCUUUGCUCAUUGACGUUACCCGCAGAAGAAGCACCGGCUAACUCCGUGCCAGCAGCCGCGGUAAUACGGAGGGUGCAAGCGUUAAUCGGAAUUACUGGGCGUAAAGCGCACGCCAGGCGGUUUGUUAAGUCAGAUGUGAAAUCCCCGGGCUCAACCUGGGAACUGCAUCUGAUACUGGCAAGCUUGAGUCUCGUAGAGGGGGGUAGAAUUCCAGGUGUAGCGGUGAAAUGCGUAGAGAUCUGGAGGAAUACCGGUGGCGAAGGCG
rnacentral:rRNA from 1 species